rnacentral:rRNA from 1 species
GACGAACGCUGGCGGCGUGCUUAACACAUGCAAGUCGAGCGGUAAGGCCCCUUUGGGAGUACACGAGCGGCGAACGGGUGAGUAACACGUGGGUGACCUGCCCUCAGCUCUGGGAUAAGCCUGGGAAACUGGGUCUAAUACCGGAUAUGACUCCAUGACGCAUGUUGUGGGGUGGAAAGCCUUGUGCGGCUGGGGAUGGGCCCGCGGCCUAUCAGCUUGUUGGUGGGGNGAUGGCCUACCAAGGCGACGACGGGUAGCCGGCCUGAGAGGGCGACCGGCCACACUGGGACUGAGACACGGCCCAGACUCCUACGGGAGGCAGCAGUGGGGAAUCUUGCGCAAUGGGCGAAAGCCUGACGCAGCGACGCCGCGUGAGGGAUGACGGCCUGGU